CUUCACAAAGCACGAAAUUACGUGCAUUCGAUUUCGACUCGAAAGGAGGGAGUUUCCCUGUGAAAA
rnacentral:tRNA from 1 species